rnacentral:rRNA from 1 species
GGACCCGCACAAGUAGUGGAGCAUGUGGUUUAAUUCGAAGAUACGCGCAGAACCUUACCAACACUUGACAUGUUCGUCGCGACUCUAAGAGAUUAGAGUUUUCGGUUCGGCCGGACGAAACACAGGUGCUGCAUGGCUGUCGUCAGCUCGUGUCGUGAGAUGUUGGGUUAAGUCCCGCAACGAGCGCAACCCUCACUUUUAGUUGCCAUCAUUAAGUUGGGCACUCUGAAAGAACUGCCAGUGAUAAGCUGGAGGAAGGUGGGGAUGACGUCAAGUCCUCAUGGCCCUUACGUGUUGGGCUACACACGUGCUACAAUGGUAUCUACAACAGGAAGCAAGACGGCGACGUUUAGCAAAUCCUAAAAAAUGCCUCAGUUCGGAUUGUACUCUGCAACUCGAGUACAUGAAGCUGGAAUUACUAGUAAUCG